rnacentral:rRNA from 1 species
CAACAGGGAUUGCCUCAGUAACGGCGAGUGAAGCGGCAACAGCUCAAAUUUGAAAUCUGGCCUCGGCCCGAGUUGUAAUUUGUAGAGGAAGCUUUUGGUGCGGCACCGACCGAGUCCCCUGGAACGGGGCGCCAUAGAGGGUGAGAGCCCCGUAUGGUUGGACGCCUAUCCUCUGUAAAGCUCCUUCGACGAGUCGAGUAGUUUGGGAAUGCUGCUCAAAAUGGGAGGUAAAUUUCUUCUAAAGCUAAAUACUGGCCAGAGACCGAUAGCGCACAAGUAGAGUGAUCGAAAGAUGAAAAGCACUUUGAAAAGAGGGUUAAAUAGCACGUGAAAUUGUUGAAAGGGAAGCGCUUGUGACCAGACUUGCGCCUCGUCGAUCAUCCGGGGUUCUCCCCGGUGCACUCGGCGGGGCUCAGGCCAGCAUCGGUUUUCGCGGGGGGACAAAGGCACCGGGAACGUAGCUCCUCCGGGAGUGUUAUAGCCCGGGGCGCAAUGCCCUCGCGGGGACCGAGGACCGCGCUUCGGCAAGGAUGCUGGCGUAAUGGUCAUCAGCGACCCGUCUUGAAACACGGACCAAGGAGUCAAGGUUUUGCGCGAGUGUUUGGGUGUAAAACCCGCACGCGUAAUGAAAGUGAACGUAGGUGAGAGCUUCGGCGCAUCAUCGACCGAUCCUGAUGUAUUCGGAUGGAUUUGAGUAGGAGCGUUAAGCCUUGGACCCGAAAGAUGGUGAACUAUGCUUGGAUAGGGUGAAGCCAGAGGAAACUCUGGUGGAGGCUCGCAGCGGUUCUGACGUGCAAAUCGAUCGUCAAAUCUGAGCAUGGGGGCGAAAGACUAAUCGAACCAUCUAGUAGCUGGUUACCGCCGAAGUUUCCCUCAGGAUAGCAGUGUUGUUCUUCAGUUUUAUGAGGUAAAGCGAAUGAUUAGGGACUCGGGGGCGCUUUUUAGCCUUCAUCCAUUCUCAAACUUUAAAUAUGUAAGAAGCCCUUGUUACUUAGCUGAACGUGGGCAUUCGAAUGUACCAACACUAGUGGGCCAUUUUUGGUAAGCAGAACUGGCGAUGCGGGAUGAACCGAACGCGGGGUUAAGGUGCCGGAGUGGACGCUCAUCAGACACCACAAAAGGCGUUAGUACAUCUUGACAGCAGGACGGUGGCCAUGGAAGUCGGAAUCCGCUAAGGACUGUGUAACAACUCACCUGCCGAAUG